rnacentral:rRNA from 1 species
GAAUUGCCAUUGAAACUGAUAGUCUUGAGUAUGAUUGAUGUGGGCGGAAUACGUCAUGUAGCGGUGAAAUGCAUAGAUAUGACGUGGAACACCGAUAGCGAAGGCAGCUCACAAAGUCAUUACUGACGCUGAUGUACGAAAGCGCAGGUAGCAAACAGGAUUAGAUACCCUGGUAGUCUGCGCCGUAAACGAUGAUUACUCGCUGUUGGCGAUACACUGUCAGCGGCUGAGCGAAAGCGUUAAGUAAUCCACCUGGGAAGUACGCCCGCAAGGGUGAAACUCAAAGGAAUUGACGGGGGCCCGCACAAGCGGUGGAGCAUGUGGUUUAAUUCGAUGAUACGCGAGGAACCUUACCCGGGCUUAAAUGCUAAUUGACAGGUUUGGAAACAA